GUGUGUUUGUGUGUGUGUGUGUGUGUGUGUGUGUGUGUGUGUGUGUGUGUGUGUGUGUGUGUGUGUGUGUGUGUGUGUGUGUGUGUGUGUGUGUUUAAGGUGUCUGAGAAAGUAAGAAGCAGUCUGCUGGCCCACGACGUGUCUUCUCCCUCACUGUCAUGUUUCUCCUGUAAAUACUGUUAUUAGAUUUGUUUUCAGGGCUGCUCUGCGUACUGUUGUAGAUGUUUGUAAUAAACUAUACAAAAUACCCA